rnacentral:lncRNA from 1 species
AAAAACCCUAAAACCCCCAAAAUUUUGGCAAAAAACCCGUCUCUUCUCCAUCUCACUAUCGCCGCUGGCGGACCAAUUCGACAAUUGAGUAGCUGGCGGUUCGAUUCCUCCUUCGAGCAGCUGGAGGAUCAAUUCCACCAUCGAGUACCAGGCGAAUGUGGUGGCGCCGUUGCAGACAAUGAAUCGGGCUGCAUGAUUAAUUCAGAUCCAGGAACGAUGACAAUCAGGUAAUUUUUGAAAAUUUCCUAGUCCCCUUAUUGGAUUGUAGAGUGGUUGUGGAUGGAGAUGAGGCGUGAUUCAAUGGCGUGGCGUUUCAAUAAACUUGCUGUGGAAUUAGGUUCAACAGUUGAGGGAAGUUGCUUAAUUAAUCUAUAUAUGUAUUAUCAAUUCAAUUCAAAGCUGAAAUUAGCCGAAAGAAGGGUACAGAUUCUAUUUUGAAGCUCAAGAUUCUAAGAAUUUUAAUUCCCAAUCUGCCAAUGGAUUGAAUUCAAGCCUCUGCUGAUUUCGAAACAACUAUUGCUCUAAAUUAAUUUUUUUUUUUUUUUUGGGUUUCGGAUAGAAAAAUAUUGGUGAAAUUGGGUUAUUGACAGUGCCCACAGGAAAGGGAUACAUGGUUCUUUUGCAAAGGCUAGGUCUUGUAUUCAAUCAGGUUUCAAAGAUUGUGUUCAAAAAUAAAAUCAGGUUACAAUACGUCUGUUCAUAUAUGUAUGUAGAGAGAAAUAGAGAGAGAGAGUUUGUUAGGGUUUAACAAUUUAAGGAGUUUUGCAAUUGUGAAUUUGGAUUGUGAAGUUUGAAUUUGGGUUGUGAAAUUUGGCUAAUGCACAAACAAUCAUGAUGCAAAUUUCAAAUACAUGUAUAAGAUACGCUAUAUGAAUAGAGAAUGAAUUUUCACGUGAUAUAAGAUAUUAUUUUCACAAGGGAUUCCAAUCUUAACAUAAGGCUCUGAUACCAAUUGUCGGUUUGAAUUUGGCAUGUUAAGAGUUGGAAUCACAACUUUAAUAAACCAAUGAAUUAAAUACGUACCUGCGAAAGCAAUCAAUAUGAAUUAUGGAUGUAAUAUAUAAUAGAGGCUGGAUCUUCCCCUCCUUGCUCCUCACAAAAUUGAAAGCUAUCAAUGGGACAAGCUUAAACGAUAUAGAGAGGAGAAGGGACCUAGCCUUUAUAUAGGAAUCAAAUAGGUCUCCCAUUAAGACUCAACAGGCCCUUAUUAGGGUUUUUAUUCCGGCCCACAUACUUAAAAUUACCACAUUAUUUAAUUUCAACCCGUAAGGUGUAAAGCCCCAAUUGAUCACAUAAUUAAUUUGGCCCAAUAACAAAACACAAUGAGCUAUAUGUCUAAC